rnacentral:rRNA from 1 species
GACAGAGGUCCCGAGCGUUUAGACGGAAUCACUGGGCUUAAAGCGUGUGUAGGCGGAUCUGUAAGUACCUUGUGAAAUCCCAUAGCUUAACUAUGGAACUGCUUGGUAUACUGCGGGUCUUGAGCCACUUAGGGGCAACCGGAACAAAUGGUGGAGCGGUGAAAUGCGUAGAUAUCAUUUGGAACGCCAAUGGUGAAAACAGGUUGCUGGGAGUGUGCUGACGCUGAGACACGAAAGCCAGGGGAGCAAACGGG